GAUGAAGAACGUAGCGAAAUGCGAUAAUUAAUGUGAAUUGCAGAAUUUAGUGAAUCAUCGAAUCUUUGAACGCACAUUGCGCCCCUUGGUAUUCCGGGGGGCAUGCCUGUCCGAGCGUCAUUGCUGCCCUCAAGCACGGCUUGUGUGUUGGGCCUCCGUCCUCCUCCCGGGGGACGGGCCCGAAAGGCAGCGGCGGCACCGCGUCCGGUCCUCGAGCGUAUGGGGCUUCGUCACCCGCUCUUGUAGGCCCGGCCGGCGCUUGCCGACACAUCAAUCUUUUUUCCAGGUUGACCUCGGAUCAGGUAGGGAUACCCGCUGAACUUAAGCAUAUCAAUAAGCGGAGGA
rnacentral:misc_RNA from 1 species